rnacentral:rRNA from 1 species
AUACGGAGGUUGCAAGCGUUACUCGGAAUCACUGGGCGUAAAGCGCGCGCAGGCGGCUUGAUAAGUUGGAUGUGAAAGCCUACGGCUCAACCGUAGAACUGCAUCCAAAACUGUCAGGCUAGAGUGUGGGAGAGGAAGAUGGAAUUAGUUGUGUAGGGGUAAAAUCCGUAGAGAUAACUAGGAAUACCAAAAGCGAAGGCAAUCUUCUGGAACACUACUGACGCUGAGGCGCGAAGGCGUGGGGAGCAAACAGGAUUAGAAACCCUAGUAGUCC